rnacentral:lncRNA from 1 species
UAGGUGGCAGCGGCGGCGGGACGAUCGAGCAGUUCUGGUCGCUGUUGGAUAGCAGACCGGCGCUUCGCCCGCGUGCACGUCUUCUACCACGCCGUCCUCGACCGUGGCUAUUUCCUCGCCGACGUCGCCGAUCAUCUCUUCACCCCCACCAAGCGCCUCCGCUACCUCGCCAGGUUCCUCCUCGUCGCGCUUCUACUCACCAGGCGCGCCGACACUGUCCCUCGCCUCGCCACCCACAUCUGCACGCUCCUCGACGGCUCCAAGAAGACCCUCCAAGAAGCCGAAUAUAAGGAGUGGAAGCAUGUCGUCCAAGAAAUGGAGAAGAUGCGGCCGGCGACGACGACGGCGGCGGAAAUGGAGAAGAGCGGCCAUCGGCCAUCUCUCUCUUGCGUGCGCUCGCCGAGAGUCAGAGACUACAGAUCAGAACAACAACAGGGGGCAACCAGAUCUACAAGCUGUUGUGCAAUGAACAGAACCUUCAUCUCCAACAAUGGAAGGAAUGGUUUGCAGCUUCAGAUCUACAUCUACAUCUACCACAAUGCCAAGGCAAAGCUUGAAUUUUUCUCCACAUUUCAGAACAGCAAGCCAACACACAAUGAUUCAAAACCAAGAACAGCAGGAGUGAACCAAGCAGGAAGAGGCAAUAUUUGA